rnacentral:rRNA from 1 species
AUUGAACGCUGGCGGCAUGCCUUACACAUGCAAGUCGAACGGUAACGGGCCUUCGGGUGCCGACGAGUGGCGAACGGGUGAGUAAUACAUCGGAACGUGCCCGAUCGUGGGGGAUAACGAGGCGAAAGCUUUGCUAAUACCGCAUACGAUCUACGGAUGAAAGCAGGGGACCGCAAGGCCUUGCGCGGACGGAGCGGCCGAUGGCAGAUUAGGUAGUUGGUGGGAUAAAAGCUUACCAAGCCGACGAUCUGUAGCUGGUCUGAGAGGAUGAUCAGCCACACUGGGACUGAGACACGGCCCAGACUCCGACGGGAGGCAGCAGUGGGGAAUUUUGGACAAAGGGCGCAAGCCUGAUCCAGCCAUGCCGCGUGCAGGAUGAAGGCCUUCGGGUUGUAAACUGCUUUUGUACGGAACGAAAAGCCUUCUUUUAAUACAGGAGGGUCAUGACGGUACCGUAAGAAUAAGCACCGGCUAACUACGUG